rnacentral:rRNA from 1 species
AGAGUUUUAUCCUGGCUCAGGACGAACGCUGGCGGCGUGCUUAACACAUGCAAGUCGAGCGGGGAUUGAGGAUGGAGUUUUUCGGAACAAAGUCCUCAAUUCUAGCGGCGGACGGGUGAGUAACGCGUGAGCAAUCUGUCCUACACAGGGGGAUAACACUUGGAAACAGGUGCUAAUACCGCAUAAGACCACGAGGUCGCAUGGCCAUGGGGUAAAAGAAAUUCGGUGUAGGGUGAGCUCGCGUCCCAUUAGCUAGUUGGUGAGGUAACGGCCCACCAAGGCGACGAUGGGUAGCCGACCUGAGAGGGUGAUCGGCCACAUUGGAACUGAGACACGGUCCAGACUCCUACGGGAGGCAGCAGUGGGGAAUAUUGGGCAAUGGGCGCAAGCCUGACCCAGCAACGCCGCGUGAAGGAAGAAGGUUUUCGGAUUGUAAACUUCUGUCCUCAAUGACGAAUGAAAUGACGGUAAUUGAGGAGGAAGCCCCGGCUAACUACGUGCCAGCAGCCGCGGUAAUACGUAGGGGGCGAGCGUUGUCCGGAAUGACUGGGCGUAAAGGGCGUGUAGGCGGCCUGAUAAGUCUGAAGUGAAAGUCCUGCUUUCAAGGUGGGAAUUGCUUUGGAGACUGUCGGGCUUGAGUGCGGAAGAGGUAAGUGGAAUUCCCAGUGUAGCGGUGAAAUGCGUAGAGAUUGGGAGGAACACCAGUGGCGAAGGCGACUUACUGGGCCGUAACUGACGCUGAGGCGCGAAAGCGUGGGGAGCGAACAGGAUUAGAUACCCUGGUAGUCCAUGCUGUAAACGCCUGAAUAGGAGGUGUGGGCCGAANAGGUCCGUGCCGCAGUUAACACAAUAAGUNUCC